UACGGAGGGUGCGAGCGUUGUCCGGAAUCACUGGGCGUAAAGGGCGCGUAGGUGGCGCGUCAAGCGUGCGGUGAAAGCCCGGGGCUCAACCCCGGGUCGGCCGUGCGGACUGGCGUGCUCGAGCACUGUAGGGGCGGGUGGAAUUCCGGGUGUAGCGGUGGAAUGCGUAGAGAUCCGGAAGAACACCGGUGGCGAAGGCGGCCCGCUGGGCAGUAGCUGACACUGAGGCGCGACAGCGUGGGGAGCAAACAGGAUUAGAAACCCCCGUAGUCC
rnacentral:rRNA from 1 species